rnacentral:rRNA from 1 species
GUGGGCAAUCUGCCCUUCACUCUGGGACAAGCCCUGGAAACGGGGUCUAAUACCGGAUAAUACUCCUGCCUGCAUGGGUGGGGGUUGAAAGCUCCGGCGGUGAAGGAUGAGCCCGCGGCCUAUCAGCUUGUUGGUGGGGUAAUGGCCCACCAAGGCGACGACGGGUAGCCGGCCUGAGAGGGCGACCGGCCACACUGGGACUGAGACACGGCCCAGACUCCUACGGGAGGCAGCAGUGGGGAAUAUUGCACAAUGGGCGAAAGCCUGAUGCAGCGACGCCGCGUGAGGGAUGACGGCCUUCGGGUUGUAAACCUCUUUCAGCAGGGAAGAAGCGAAAGUGACGGUACCUGCAGAAGAAGCGCCGGCUAACUACGUGCCAGCAGCCGCGGUAAUACGUAGGGCGCAAGCGUUGUCCGGAAUUAUUGGGCGUAAAGAGCUCGUAGGCGGCUUGUCACGUCGGAUGUGAAAGCCCGAGGCUUAACCUCGGGUCUGCAUUCGAUACGGGCUAGCUAGAGUGUGGUAGGGGAGAUCGGAAUUCCUGGUGUAGCGGUGAAAUGCGCAGAUAUCAGGAGGAACACCGGUGGCGAAGGCGGAUCUCUGGGCCAUUACUGACGCUGAGGAGCGAAAGCGUGGGGAGCGAACAGGAUUAGAUACCCUGGUAGUCCACGCCGUAAACGUUGGGAACUAGGUGUUGGCGACAUUCCACGUCGUCGGUGCCGCAGCUAACGCAUUAAGUUCCCCGCCUGGGGAGUACGGCCGCAAGGCUAAAACUCAAAGGAA